UACAGAGGGGGCAAGCGUUGUUCGGAAUUACUGGGCGUAAAGGGCGCGUAGGUGGCCUUCUAAGUCGAACGUGAAAUCCCCGGGCUCAACCCGGGAACUGCGUCCGAUACUGGAAGGCUUAAAUCCGGGAGAGGGAUGCGGAAUUCCAGGUGUAGCGGUGAAAUGCGUAGAUAUCUGGAGGAACACCGGUGGCGAAGGCGGCGUUCUGGACUGCAACUGACACUGAGAAACGAAAGCCAGGGUAGCAAACGGG
rnacentral:rRNA from 1 species